rnacentral:RNase_P_RNA from 1 species
AAAUUGAGACAAUCGCUGUAAUUUUAGAUUAUAGAGGAAAGUCCAUGCUCUUACAAACUGCGAUGUUUGUAGUGAUUGUGCUAGAUGAAACAAUAAAUCUAGUCAGUAGUAAUACUGAAGGCUGAACAAAAUCCUAAGUCAAUCGAUAGGGAUGGCGUCUGUAAAAGUGCCACAGUGACGAAGUUAAGGAGGAAACUCUUUAAAUGGAACGAGGUAAACCCCACAAAAGAGAAACCCAAAUUAUGGUAGGGGCACUUAGUUAUAGGGAAAUGAACUUAUACUAGGAUGUAGUAAUACAUAGAUAAAUGAUUGUCGCUCUAAAUUAGAGAACAGAACAUGGCUUAUGAUA